UCCGGAUCAAUGAUCCAUCCGUAAUCGGCGUUAUCUUUCUGUAGCUCCUUUGAAGGAUUUGAAGAUGAUGCUUAUCUACUGAGAUCUGGU